UAUUAAAAAUUUCAUCCAUUUAUACUAUUAUAAACUGGUGUGGAGACAAUGACACAUGGCGUGCCACGUAUACUGCAUGCUGGCAUACAAAGACUAGUUUUUAACAGUAGAAAUGUAUGAAAUUUUUAACA
rfam:Gossypium raimondii Chr11_contig_73, whole genome shotgun sequence.